ACACAUGCAAGUCGAAACGGUAGCACAGAGAGCUUGCUCUCGGGUGACGAGUGGCGGACGGGUGAGUAAUGUCUGGGAAACUGCCUGAUGGAGGGGGAUAACUACUGGAAACGGUAGCUAAUACCGCAUAACGUCGCAAGACCAAAGAGGGGGACCUUCGGGCCUCUUGCCAUCAGAUGUGCCCAGAUGGGAUUAGCUAGUAGGUGGGGUAACGGCUCACCUAGGCGACGAUCCCUAGCUGGUCUGAGAGGAUGACCAGCCACACUGGAACUGAGACACGGUCCAGACUCCUACGGGAGGCAGCAGUGGGGAAUAUUGCACAAUGGGCGCAAGCCUGAUGC
rnacentral:rRNA from 1 species